CAAAUAGCUCAGUUGCUAGAGCAUGAGACUUUUAAUCUCAGGGUCAAGGGUUUGAGCCCUACGAUGCGUGAAAGA